CCCAGGCAAGAUAGAGGGACCCCACUCAGAUAAACAAGUAACCACAACAACAAAGGCCCAUCCCACCCCUGUCAUUUGGGGCAUGGACAUCAGCGUCACCAUCACAUACACACUUAUUUGGUCUCAGCUCCCUCUGGACAUGAGCGGGACAGUGGCUUUGGUAAGGGGAAAUGCAGGAAACAUCAGAGAAGCCAGUAGCAGUCAAGACGAAAUCAAAUCCAGAAACACACAAAUGACAGCCGUUCACAUUUCGAAUGCAAGAGAAUAUUGCUUGCUUUACCCCAGGGAGGAAAUUGUGGCCUUGAUGAUUUCCACCCCUGUAAGAACUCUUAGUUGACCCCCACCCUGCCGGUUUAACUUGAAACACUACAUACUUUGUCUGCAUUUAUUCAGUUGAUUAAGAUUUAUCUUUGUUUGCUAUUGGCUAACUUUGGCCUGGCCUUUCUGGCCCAGGAACCAUGGCUAAAUUUGCAAUACAUGUGCUGGAAAAGGUAGAACAAGGCCUGGUACGUCAGCAAGCUGCCCAUGGGAGGAAGUCUUCUGGCAGACUUUGACCCCAUUAGCAAGAGAUUUCGCUGUCCAAGUUGGUCAUUUGGGAACUGCUAUAAUUACUCUGGCAAAUAAAGAAG
rnacentral:lncRNA from 1 species